GGAGUACAAAAAAAUGACUGCAGACAGACAAUGACAUUCAGAAGAAAAAGAGCAGCAAACAAAGGAAUCAUGGAAGCCACCACAGCUGAUAGUUACCAUGGGAACUCAUGAUGGAGGUCGGUGGACAGACAUUGCAGGACCAGGUGCUCGAAGACAUAUAACAGGUUGUCGCCUUACAGGAUGGUAAACCUCCACCCAAUUAUCUGUCUGGCAGCUUCUCUCAGAUUUUCUUUCAGUAUUGCCUUGAAUUUAGCUUCACCUAUCUUUCCAUCUUUUCUGCCCAUUUCUCCUGUCACCACAUGAACAGUAUACCUACAGCAUGAAUCUGCCACCACCAAGUUUCUCUACAUGAAUAAUGCUAUAUGUGCUGAUGUGAUGUGAUGUGCAGUGUGUGAAGGUUAGCCAAAAAGUUCAGUUUUGUUGUAACUUGAUCAGUACAUCAUCUUGCCCCUCUCUUCUCAUACUGUCACAAAAUGACUGUACUUGUUCAAAUAUUUUUUGGUACUUGCUGCCUUUAAUCACAGUGGUUUUAUACUGAAACGAGGGGGGAGGGGAAGGAGUGAAGCCAUGCAACAAAGAUCUAGAGAUAUCAGGAGUCAAAUGGUAUAUGGACUGAAUUUAUGUAGUGCAGUUUGGUCCUUUUAACCACUCAAAGCACUUUACGCUAGAGCCACACUCAUAACAGCACGCACAUUCAUACAUCAAUAGACACAUCAUAUUAGAACCUUCCGAUACACGGACAGGCAGAUGGCUGCAUCUAGGACUAGUAGGUCUAUCACUUUGCCAACAGCCCCAAAGGCUGUGCUUAGACUGAGAUAAAAUUACACACAAGUGAAUUAUAUUUACUAAUGAGGAGAGUUCAGAACACAGUUGGUCGCCUUGGAUUUUAUUCAAGGCUAUCAAAGUGGGGUGAAUACACAUACACAAUGACUUUUAUAUAUAUAAAAAUAUAGAUAGCAAUAUAUUUUUCUCCCUUACUUCUUACUAAUGGAUAUAUACCAGAGCUUAUGCUUGUAAUUUGACAAAUGUUUAAAAAAAUAAAAUAAAAAACUACAAAGUUCAACUGGUAUGAACAUAAUCCUACAUAAAAUCAAGCAUUUUCAUAAUAGGAGGCUCUGUGAUUGUUUUGGGAAGGUGGCAGUUUGGACCUUGGUUGCAAAUGCCUUUCUGUUACAUACUGCAAACCUGUAUAACUAGAGAGAUUACUUCAGAAUGGACUGUAAAAUUACCAAAAAGGACAUUGGAGUAGUGAAAUAAAGAACUUUAAAAACAGUCAUGCAAACUGUAUUUGCUUGAUUGUUGAUUACAUUAUGAUAUAAUGAUCUCCAAUACUUAUAAAUAAUAUUAACACUGCUUUUAUUUCCGCAACUCAAUUUACAUCAAGCCUUUACUUUUGUGAUGAUAUUCCACUGAUAGGUAUUGACAAUACAUAUGAUUUUAGUCAAUUAUGUAGAAAACAUUCUUAAUACAGAAACAUGGAUGUAAUGAAAAGCAUGUGUAAUGCCUGCCUAAAGGUUAUUUUCAGAAAGUGCUAUUAAUUGACAAACAAACCUAAUCAGAAUCCAUAUUCUAAUUUAUUGAAAGUGACUAUAUGGUAAUGUUUUCAGGAAAGUGAAAACUUGCGUAAUGAAUUUCAACUGAAUAAACAGUAAUAGGAGGCAGUUUGUCAAAUUGUUACAUUAGUGGACAGGUAUGACACUUGAAGAACUUGUACUAAAUGCAACACAGGUCUAUAGAAAACAUAUGUCUCUGCAUUUGAUACUUAUAAAAGCUCAAAGAAAAAAAUAUCUGACUAUAACACAGCUCACCCCCUCUCUCUCCCCUAUUCUUUCCUCUGAAAAGUUGACAUUGCUGUACAAACACCUCUAAAUAAUGAAAAUGCGCUCUCAGGGUCAAGCGCCUUCUGAGCUCAACCUGUUUCCUGUCAAACAGUCAAUAUGGUGUUCCAGUAUACUGAGGAGCUGGGUGGUGAGGGGUGGAAAAAAAACUCCUUUGUCCCUGAGAAUUGAAUGCAGCUCUUUCUGCAGUGGAGAGGCCAAGCCAGGGAAACAGUAGAUCUGUCAGUUACUGCUCGUUUCUACCAUUGGUACCUUAUAAUUCAUCUUGCCUCCCUAAUCUUUAUUAUAGGCUUUGAUUUGCCCCUGCAGCAACUCCCCUACCAUCACCACCGCCUUCACCUCUGCCUCUAUGAUCAUUUCACUCUUCCUCUCCUCUGUUCCCAAGCUGCAUAAAUGCUUGGUGCAUUAGGACAUAUGCUGCUGCUUUCCCUUUUUUUUUUUCCUUUUCUCCAUGCUAUGACACAGCUGCAAUCAUUUUACUUGUGUUUAUCAUUUGUUUGAUGUACUGUAUAAUUGCAAGCUCUACUAGUGUAUCAGGAUAUCAUAUAAAACAUUAAAGACAUUUUAUGACACUAUAGA